rnacentral:rRNA from 1 species
UAUGCCUACGGGACGCAGCAGUGGGGAAUAUUGGACAAUGGGGGGAACCCUGAUCCAGCGACGCCGCGUGAGUGAAGAAGUAUUUCGGAAUUUAAAGCUCUAUCAGCAGGGAAGAAAGAAAUGACGGUACCUGACUAAGAAGCCCCGGCUAACUACGUGCCAGCAGCCGCGGUAAUACGUAGGGGGCAAGCGUUAUCCGGAUUUACUGGGUGUAUAGGGAGCGUAGACGGCAAUGAAAGUCUGGAGUGAAAGGCGG